rnacentral:rRNA from 1 species
AGAGUUUGAUCAUGGCUCAGAAUCAACGCUGGCGGCGCGCCUAACACAUGCAAGUCGAACGAGAAAGUGGAGCAAUCCAUGAGUACAGUGGCGUACGGGUGAGUAACACGUGGGUAAUCUACCUCUUUGUGUGGAAUAACCCUGGGAAACCGGGGCUAAUACCGCAUAAGCUCGAGAGAGGAAAGCAGCAAUGCGCUGAGAGAGGAGCCCGCGGCCGAUUAGCUAGUUGGCAGGGUAAAAGCCUACCAAGGCAAAGAUCGGUAGCCGGCCUGAGAGGGCACACGGCCACACUGGCACUGAAACACGGGCCAGACUCCUACGGGAGGCAGCAGUGGGGAAUCUUGCACAAUGGGGGAAACCCUGAUGCAGCGACGCCGCGUGAGCGAUGAAGCCCCUCGGGGUGUAAAGCUCUUUCGGCAGGGAAGAUUAUGACGGUACCUGCAGAAGCAGCUGCGGCUAACUACGUGCCAGCAGCCGCGGUAAUACGUAGGCAGCAAGCGUUGUUCGGAGUUACUGGGCGUAAAGGGUGUGUAGGCGGUCUUCUAAGUUUGGUGAGAAAUCUCCCGGCUCAACUGGGAGGGUGCGCCGAAUACUGAAAGACUAGAGUGCGGGAGAGGAUAGUGGAAUUCCUGGUGUAGCGGUGAAAUGCGUAGAUAUCAGGAGGAACACCGGUGGUGUAGACGGCUAUCUGGACCGUAACUGACGCUGAGACACGAAAGCGUGGGUAGCAAACAGGAUUAGAUACCCUGGUAGUCCACGCCCUAAACGAUGCAUAUUUGGUGUGGGCAGUUCAGUCUGUCCGUGCCGGAGCUAACGCGUUAAAUAUGCCGCCUGGGGAGUACAGUCGCAAGGCUGAAACUCAAAGGAAUUGACGGGGGCCCGCACAAGCGGUGAGCAUGUGGUUCAAUUCGACGCA